UACGGAGGGGGCUAGCGUUGUUCGGAAUUACUGGGCGUAAAGCGCGCGUAGGCGGCUUUGUAAGUUAGAGGUGAAAGCCCGGAGCUCAACUCCGGAAUUGCCUUUAAGACUGCAUCGCUAGAAUCAUGGAGAGGUGAGUGGAAUUCCGAGUGUAGAGGUGAAAUUCGUAGAUAUUGGGAAGAACACCAGUGGCGAAGGCGGCUAACUGGUCCAGAUCUGACGCUGAGGUGCGAAAGCGUGGGGAGCAAACAGG
rnacentral:rRNA from 1 species